UACAGAGGUCUCAAGCGUUGUUCGGAUUUAUUGGGCGUAAAGAGCUCGUAGGCGGCUUGUCGCGUCGUCCGUGAAAACCUGCGGCUCAACUGCAGGCUGGCGGUCGAUACGGGCAGGCUGGAGUUCGGUAGGGGAGACUGGAAUUCCUGGUGUAGCGGUGAAAUGCGCAGAUAUCAGGAGGAACACCGGUGGCGAAGGCGGGUCUCUGGGCCGAUACUGACGCUGAGGAGCGAAAGCGUGGGGAGCGAACAGG
rnacentral:rRNA from 1 species